ensembl:lncRNA
CUUGACCAGAGAAGUAGAUGAAAAACCUACCGUAGAAGCGCUAGUUGGAGAGGGGGACUUUGCUGGGUGAUCCUGACAAAGCCAGGCCCUGAACUGGAGUGAGAAAUGCAAAAAUCUGACAGAACGCUCAAGCAACUUGUAGACUCAUUUGACAGAAAAGGCCUAUUUUUAGAAAAUGUGGAGAGGGCAUUAUAAACGCGAUAGAGCACAGAAGAUGCAGUUCUGAAAUUCUAGUAGCACCCUCCAUUACAUGUAACAGGGCAGGCACUUAGGUAAUUAGAAACUGGCCUUCAUCUGGCAUUUUCUCCUUUUCCAGCACUUGGAAUGCAGUGUCCCUUCCUCCUCAGGGAGCCUCUUUUUGACGUCAUCAGAGACAAUUGGGUGCCUACUACUUGGAAUUCUGCCAGAGGGACAAAAGAACCUUUAGAACAAAGAUACACCCCUGAAGUGUGAAGUUACUAUUUAGCCUCGAGGAGACAGGAGCUUAUACUCAGAAUUAAAGACUGUCUCCUGUUGCAGAAACUGCUGCUGCUUCUGGCCAAGCGGAUGGAGGACAUGAACCCCUGAAGAGCACAUUUUUCAAGGUCUGAUUGAGUACCUGUUAUGUGCAAAGCACUGCAGCAGGGAGCAUCCUGGCUCUAAGGAAGCUUUGGUCGGUGGUGUCGGCUUGAUCCUUGCCUGUGAACAAGGUCAAGGUGCUGAGGUGCCAGGGUCCACCGAGAUGAGACUCGAGCGGUCCACCGCAUUGUCCUUCUCAUAGACUGAGCUCGUGCGUAAAGAGCUGCCUGAAAGAAAGGCCCUGGGGGCGGAGGAGGCAACGGAAGAUGCCUUGGAAGACACAGGCCAGGAGAGGAAGCGGAGGCGGCCAUGGGUUCUCACCGCUCCGAUCCAGCCUGGCCCCAGCGCGGCGGCAGGCAGAUCUGUCUUGCCGAGUUCCUCACUGGUGCUUUCACUCCUCUGCGGGUCACCUAUUAGGUUUCUGUCAGCUUAUGUUUUCCUGUGGCCUCCUGCCCCCAUCUGCUUUCAUCUACAGAUUCUACCCUCUGAGCUCUGGACCACAGACUCCCUUCGGAUGGCUGGACCUGUGAUAAGUAACCUUGGGAGUCAUUCAAGACUGUGGGGGUUUUUUGCUAUAUGUACCGACAAUAAAAAAAAGAACAGCCCAGCUGAGUUCCUGCCCAAAGUUCCCUGAGCUGCCCUUACAUUCCUAUAAUGCAGUGAAAUAUUCAUCUUUGUGCUUUUCUUUUGGACAUUGCCCAAUGUUGAGAGGGAUCUGUAGUCCCCUAAGGAGAAGUGGAGGGUUAAAGCAAUAUGCCAAGACAA